rnacentral:misc_RNA from 1 species
GUGAUUACACCUAUCUGAGAAGUUUUGCACAUAGAACGUUGUUCAGCUUGAGAUUCACCAGCUUGCAACUUCUUUGAUGGAUCUGAAUUUACUACAUGGUUCUGCUGCAAAACUCGUUGUACAGUUGCUUGUUUUUUAUUCAUCAAUUUUGGCUGUGGCUGCACCUGUGACUGUUGAUGCACCAAGGCUUGGUGGUUAGAAGAACCUAAGACUGAGAACGGAACAGAUUGCUGAGAUGAAUUGGUAUCUGAGGCAGCCAAUGAGGCAGGAUUUUG